rnacentral:tRNA from 1 species
CAAAAUAUAGCUUAAUCAAGCAUCCUGCUUACACCAAGAAGCCAUCCGUGAAACUCGGAUUAUUUUGA